rnacentral:pre_miRNA from 1 species
GGGCCCAUCUUCCAGUGCAGUGUUGGAUGGUCUAAACGCGAAGCUCCUAACACUGUCUGUUAAAGAUGGCCC